rnacentral:lncRNA from 1 species
GUUACUGAUGACAAAAUGGAGGUCAAGUUCAAUUAUGACGAUUUUGACUUUUACCGUUCAGGAGUUAUGGUUCUUGAAAGAUUGAAAAAUGGUGUUUCCUGUCGUGUCCGUGCAUUUUCUCAUGAACCAUUCAACCAAAGCUUUUGAAAUUUAAAUAUGUUGUUACUGAUGACAAAAUAGAGGUCAAGUUCAAUAAUGACGAUUUUGACUUUUACCGUUCAGGAGUUAUGGUUCUUGAAAGAUCGUGAAAUGGCGUUUCCAUUCACGUUGUUGCAUUUACUCAUGAACCAUUCAAUCUAAGCUUUUCAAAUUUUAAUAUGUUGAUACUGAUGACAAAAUGGAGGUCAAAUUUGAUAUUGACGAUUUUCACUUUCACCAUUCAUCAGUAAUGGUUCUUGUGAUAUUGCCAGGACACAAAUAAAUGUUUAUAAAUUCGGUUUGCUGUCGUUGUGACAGCCUCUUGUUU